GUGCCAGCCGCCGCGGUAAUACGAAGGGGGCUAGCGUUGCUCGGAAUGACUGGGCGUAAAGGGCGCGUAGGCGGAUUGAUUAGUUAGGCGUGAAAUUCCUGGGCUUAACCUGGGGGCUGCGCUUAAUACAGUCAGUCUAGAGUAUGGAAGAGGGUCGUGGAAUUCCCAGUGUAGAGGUGAAAUUCGUAGAUAUUGGGAAGAACACCGGUGGCGAAGGCGGCGACCUGGUCCAUUACUGACGCUGAGGCGCGAAAGCGUGGGGAGCAAACAGGAUUAGAUACCCUGGUAGUCCACGCCGUAAACGAUGUGUGCUGGAUGUUGGGUGGCCUAGCCAUUCAGUGUCGUAGCUAACGCGAUAAGCACACCGCCUGGGGAGUACGGCCGCAAGGUUGAAACUUAAAGAAAUUGACGG
rnacentral:rRNA from 1 species